UAGAUAUUUUUUAAAAGUUAGUGUUAUCAUCAUUCAUAUCGCAAGCAAUUAUUUCGUCAAUUAGACGUAACGGCAGUUAGACUUCAGUAUAAAUUGCGUUUAGGUGCAGUACAGCUUAAACUUGCAUAGAUUUCCAUAUAUUUAUCCACAUCAAGGAUUCAGAUAUUCACGCAGAUAAAAUUAUAUAAAGAUGUCCAAGAUAACUAUUCUCAUAUUGUUGAUGGUAUUUCUGGCUAUUGAAAUAAACGCUUGCGGGGAGCAUGCAGUUCCUUGUUCUACGGAUGGGGAAUGCUGCAGUAACGAAUGUAAGGAAAAUUACAUGGGCCGUAAACAAUGUAAAGAUCUAUAUAAUUAUCUGGGUAGAAAUUCAGUAGACAAAUGAAUUGUUACUUUAUUAACAAUAAUUAUAUUAAUAAUAAUAACAAUUAUUAUUAUUAUUAUUAAACACUAUGACAAAAAUUGUAGUGAAUGAAAUAAAAAAAUAAUAUCAAUAAAAAGUGUUUAAAUUUUAUUAAAAUCAUGUCCUCAGUCCGUCCCCUUGAAUUUUAUAUUUCUUAUCUAUCGGGGGUGAGGGUCGCAGGUUAGAGGCUGGGUCACGGCUUUGAGGUCACAAGAAAAUAAGAAUUUAAUCUCGAGAAAAUUUAUUUUAUAACAACAAAACAGAGUUAUCAUUUGAUGCGCGCUGGAAUUUUCCGACAACUCGUCAGCGAGUUCAAAUGUAGAAGUGAAAAAAAAAUAUUAUGAUUAUAUAAGUGUCAUCUUGAAGACUUGCAGAUUUAAUAUACAGUUUAAUUGUUGAUGACAAAGCAGCUGAGUCUCGUUAAUAAAAUUUAAAGAAAUGUCAAGAGUCAGUAUUCUAAUAUUUUUGAUCGUUUUGGUGGCUGUUGGAAUCAACGCGUGUGUUAAUCAUGGCGGGGACUGCACGACAGAUUCUGAAUGCUGCAGUGAAGAUUGUCGCACAGACUACUUCGGCCAUUUGAGGUGUGGAGACAUCUGCCAAUGGGGUGUCAAACAAUGUUGAAAUUUAAUUCUAUCAAUUUUAUCAACAAUUCAGAUAAAAAUUAUUGUAUUUGUUUAUGAAAAUAUAUAAUUUAUAAAUCUCUAA